CCUGAUGUGCCCCUGGUGGUGGGACAGGCUCCCUCAGGGGCAGCUGCACCACUGUUGAGCCUGUCAACUUUGAAGAUUUUUUCUUCUCUUAGGCAAACAUCUGCUUCCCUAAAUGCCUGUUCAUCCUUCCUGGUUACAUGUUUUACAGUAAGACGGAAUGAGCUAGACUCCCUGUUGUGGGACAAUCCUUCGGACAUCUCACGGCAGCUGUUGGAGAUGCCUGUCACCCUCAGCCUCACUACCUGGCACCCUCAUUCCUUCCCUUUGUCCCAGACAUGCCUUCACUGAGAGCCUUCCCAGAUAUCCUGGCCACUCUCCUUCUAAUGGAUGUUUUUUUAUACACUUUAUUUUUUAGAGUAGUUUUAGGUUCAUAGCAAAACUGAGCAGAAGGCACAGAGCUCCCAAAUACCCCCUGCCCCACCUAUGCACAGCCUCCCGACCUAUCAGCAUCUCUCACCACAGCAGUGCAUUGCUACAGUUGAUGAGCCUGUGCUCACAUGUCACUAUGUUACCCGGAAAAAAACAGGGCUCAUUCUAAAACCAGCCCAAUUGUCCUAUCAAACUAAUACUUAUGUUUUUUUUAAUAAACCUAGAAAUUCACUCCCCCAACCCUGAGCUUAAAACUUGUAAUUUGUCUCAUCUGUGUUUCUUUCUCAGAAAACUGACUCUCAGGCAAGAACCUGAAACUCAUCAGAUUUCCACUUCCAGACAAUGAGAUGUCAGCCCCCUCAUCCAUCAUGAUUACUUCCUUAUCCCUCCCUAAUUCCUGGCGCUAUAAGCACCCCAAUUUUAAUCUGUUGGAGAGAUGGAUUUGAGACUGAGCUCCCAUCUUCCUUGGCUGCAGCACCCAAUUGAAGCCUUCUUCCCUGGCAGUACUUGCUGUCUCAGUGAUUGGCUUCCUGCGCAGGACCUAGACCAAAUCCUCAGUGUUUCAGUAACAGUUUGCCUGGCAGCUGCUACACAGCACCCUCCGUGCCCCUGGCUCUCCUGCUUUGGGCUGGUAGAAGAUCGGGCAUCCUGGGCCGGUUUCCUCAGAAUACUCCUGAAAUCCUGCAGAGACUGGGAAGGGACCCAUCCCCGCCAGCUGCAGACUCAGCCGGAGUUGGCUCAAGCUUGUCUUCUUCACAGGCGUAAGCUAGUGGGAUUUUUCCUGCUGGGGCUUUUCUGCUAAUUGUUCUUUAUUGAAGUAUCACUGACACACGGUAAAGGACACAAAUCUUAAGCGCUCAGCUCAAUGCAUUUUGACACAUUCACACACUCACGUGAGCAUCACACAAAUGCAGUGAGAGUAUUUCCAUGGCCACACCAAGUCCCUUUCAGUCACUCUCCCAGCCCCUGCUCAGGCAAUGAUGGCUCUGAUUUUUCAAAAUUCAGUGAGAUUAUACGGUGUGCUGUCCUCUACGUCUGACUGCUUUCUCUCAACAAAAUGUUUCUGAGGCGUAUCCAUGAUUGCACGUAUCAGCAGUUCCUUUCUAUCAAUGAGUAGUAUUCCAUUGUAGGAAGAUAACAUGGCUUGUCCCACCCGUUGGUAGAAAUUUGGAUUGUUUCCAGUUUGAGGCUACAGUGAAGAGACGCUAUGGAAGUCCUUGUGCAUGUCUUUUUGUGGACAUAGUCACUCAUUCCUGCUAAGUAUAUUUCUAAUGUUGAAACUGUUGGAUCAUAGGGUAGUUAUAUGUUCAACAUUAUUGAGAAGGAGGAAGGACCCCUAAGACCCACCUUAAGGGCCCACGGGGUCAUCCCCGAGCAUGGAAAUGAAGGAAAAUCUGAGUCUCUUCAAGGGAAAUUCCAAACAUCUAGCUAGUCUUGGGAGGUAAAUGAGAAAUCUGAUAAACAAGAAGGCAACAGCA
rnacentral:lncRNA from 1 species